rnacentral:lncRNA from 1 species
AAGUAAUCAACCACACUCAAACAAUCAACUUCCAUAAUUUUCCUAAGCAUAGAAAAAAAGAUUAAUCAUGUCAUCGCUUUGAUUAAUAGGCUAGAAAAAGACAAUGAGCAAUUUAAAAUAUAUGGGACUUGAAACUUUUUUAUGCAUAACAUAAGAUGAUUACACGUAAAACAUUGAUAGACAAUAAGAGAGGGUGAAUAGGAAUACAACUAUAUCAACCCAAGGGGGCCAAGACCCAUAUAAAUCCAUGAAAGACCAAAAAAAAAAAAAAAACCCAUGAUAAUAUGCAUUAUUCCAACAAUCUUGAUUGUUCUUGUAAAAAGGUCGCACUAGACCAAAUGAGGAUUCAUAUGAUAUGCAUUAUUCCACUAAAUUGUCAACAUAUAUACCAGUAGUAUAAAAAAGAAAAAACAACUAAAAUCAAAUAUACAACCCUAACUUUUGCCCAG